rnacentral:rRNA from 1 species
AACGAACGCUGGCGGCAUGCCUAACACAUGCAAGUCGAACGAGACCUUCGGGUCUAGUGGCGCACGGGUUCGUAACGCGUGGGAACCUGCCCUUAGGUUCGGAAUAACUCCCCGAAAGGGGUGCUAAUACCGGAUAAUGUCUUCGGACCAAAGAUUUAUCGCCGUUGGAUGGGCCCGCGUUGGAUUAGCUAGUUGGUAGGGUAAAAGCCUACCAAGGCGACGAUCCAUAGCUGGUCUGAGAGGAUGAUCAGCCACACUGGGACUGAGACACGGCCCAGACUCCUACGGGAGGCAGCAGUGGGGAAUAUUGGACAAUGGGCGAAAGCCUGAUCCAGCAAUGCCGCGUGAGUGAUGAAGGCCUUAGGGUUGUAAAGCUCUUUUACCCGGGAUGAUAAUGACAGUACCGGGAGAAUAAGCUCCGGCUAACUCCGUG